GCCAUGUUAAGUGUAAUAAUUCCAGCGAUUUUCUGUGGGUAGCGAAGGACAAAUGGGUAGGCAACCAUUGUUCCAAAAUCUUUAGCAAUCACAAAUACCUAAUAAUGUUCAAAGAGUUAUGAUCAAUACAGAAUCGAAAUUUUUGAAGGAUUAACUGUGCGUCUCAACAAGAUGAACAAUUGAACAUCGCAGCUGAAAUUGGGAUGAACUUACCUUCGAAAUAGCGAGAGAAUCAACGAUAGAGGCAAUAUCGUUGACAAAGUCAUCGAAGGAGGCCUUCUCAGGUUCCGCAGGCGGAUCAGAUAACCCGUAUCCUCUGAAAUCGGGGGCAAUGGCUCUGAAACCGGCGUUUGCGACGGCAAUCAUUUGGUGGCGCCAAGUGUACCAUAUCUCCGGGAA